CACACCCUCUCUCUGCUCCAUGACCCCAGCCUCCCCCCCACCAAGAGAAAUGGAAUCUAGGUGUAACAGUGACCAUGGCAAAUGGCACUGAGCACCUGAGCUGUCACAUGAGUCUCUGCCAUUGGAUAAAGCUUUCAUUGCAUUGGUGGAGAGAGGUCAGACACAUGAGCUAUGUCCAUGUGCCUGGGUCCUGGGGCAACAGCCCUAAAACAGGAAGUGGGGAGUGUGUACAAGUCAGGUGGAAGCUUUUAGUCACUGCUCUUAGCACUGCUGCUCCAUCAUGCCCGCCUGCCUACCGCCAUGCUACCCACCAUGAUGGUCAUGGUCUCCAUCUCUGGAACGAAACUCCUGUCUCAAGUUUGUAUGGAUAAAAAAAGGGGGAAGUGGCCCCUGAUGUGAAAGCUCUACCACAAGGGUGGGACCCAGUGAAGGACGCUGCUGGAAGUGGAACACUCAGGAAAAGUGAAAAUGUUGGCAGACAGCUGGUGACCAGAGCUCACUCUCGCCCCUCCCUUCUCCGGUGGCUGCACAACACAGAGGACCACUGCAGACAUAGGAUGCUGAAGGAGCAUGGUGGCUGCAAGAGCAAUUGGUGAGACACCCUGAUGCUGGGACAGAGAAUGAAGCUGAUUGUGAUCUUACUGAGUGCCCUGACAAUGGUGAUGGGGAAGCUGUCUUGGGCAUAUGUUCCUGACCCGCCUUUGCUAUACAUAUUCUUCUGUAUGGCCAAAGUCAGAAGAAUUUGUGACCUUGAAUAAUACUCGGCUGUUAGGAUUUCCUUGGUCUAAGAGUAAAAUCUAUUUCAAAUUAUUGAAUUACACCGCUGUAGGUCAGGGUCUGCCUAUUUGUUUUACUGGAAAUAGUACCAAUGCUAGAUGCUUUCCUGUGGACCCUCAGACUUGGAAGAAGACUAUCUUUAAGACUAUAGUACAAAGCACUGUAAUGGGGGUGCCUGUAUCUCAGACUGGACAGGCUGCCUUGCCUUAGGCUUUAGAUCUUACAGGACAGAAAACACAGAGACUGUGGAACCUGCCUUCAAAGAAUCAAUCAAAUGGGAAGUUGUUAUAAUGACUCUCCCCUUUCUUUUAAUGUGACUGGUUAUCCCUACUCAAUAAUGGACUGGUCUGGACAUUAAUCCAAUAUAGGACAAGGAAAUGACAGUGGGCAUUUGGAGGCCUGGUUCUGGACAUUUUCAGACUCAUAUUUGGAAAUUGGAAUUGUUUUGUCUUUUGUCCAAUUGUGUUUCUGCACUGUAUGAUGGUCAGUCUGUAAUGGUAGUACAUAACCAGCUUUUAUUAUGAUUCCUGUCAAUUUAUCUGAACCCUGGUAUUCUGAAAAAUGCCUACAAAUAUUGGAAGAAUUAGAUCACACUCUGGCAAGGAGCAAACAUAUGGUUGGGCCGAUCAUUGUUGGUGUUGUUGCUCUCAUGACUCUUAUAGCCAGUGCUACUACUUCUGCAUUGGCUUUAUCCCAAGAGGUACAAACAGCUAGUUUUGUUAAUCAUCCUGCAGACAAUGUAACCAAUGCUGUGGGCAAACAAGAGGAUUUAGAUAAGAUAGCUAGAACAAAAGAUAAACGCAUUAUAUGAUAUAGUGCAGAUCAUGGGAGGUGAAGUAAAAUGAAUGAAAGUCAGAAGCCAUUUGGCAUGGCAUGCUUGAUAUCUCUGGAUUUGUAGAACUCCAAAAAUGUAUAACAAGAGUCAGCAUAACUGGACCAGAGUUAAAAGGCACCUUCAGGGUACUUGGCAUAAUACUAAUACUUCUCUAGGUUUAUUUGCCCUGCAUAAGGAGGUUGUAAGUUUAAGAAGUGUAAAGCCUUUCUCUUUCAAUGCUGUAGAAUUGCAAAUGAUAUUCUGAAAAAGUUAUAGGAAGUUUUUCCUUCAUGGUCCUCAUUUAUAUCUCUUUUAUUAGGCACAGCAGGACUUGGCUUUGUGAUCUUUUUUUAUAGCAUGCCUAUUGUCUGUUCUUUGGAGAAGAGUCAUCAGAACUUUUAUAGAUAUCAAAACAGUUACAUAAAUUUAAGCUCCAACAUCUUCCCUAGCAGUAGUUGGUAGUUGAUUAUGGGUAAAAUCAUCUUGAAAACCUUCUCAACCUAAGACAGGCCAUGAAUACAAGAUUAUUCGAGUGCCAAUGAUGGGUAGGAGCUGUGUUUUCAGGUGGUAACCUAAGACAGACGCAACUUUCUGCUCCAUAACUGACAAAGUGCUUCUUAUAGAUAAAUAAGUCUGCUGACAUGUCUGGGUUUAGUUAAGACAUGUGUUAUAUCCUGCCAAGCUCCUCUGCUUAUGCAAGCAUUAUUGAGAGACUGUCCAAACCUGAAGGAAAUGGCCUUAAACUAACAUACUGUGUACCAUAAACUCACCAUGUAAGCAUUCAUGCCCAUUGUUUAACUUCCUAGAAUUGAUCAUGCUUUCUAUCCAUUGUCUUUAAAGGAUACUAAGAAAAUACACUCAUUGCUGCCAUGGUGUUGACCAGCAUUACUCCCAUAUCUGUCUUUUGCAUCUUCUUUCUGCCUUUUCUAUAAUCAUCCUUACUCCCCUAGUUGUGACUCCCUUGUUGACUGACUGGCUCUCUCCAGCAUGUAAACAUUGCUCUUCAUUCAUUCUCUGCCUUGCCAAUAAAAGCCAAGAAGCCAAUAAAAACCUUUAGAAAGAAUAAGGUAGGACUUCUAAUUCUACUCCACUCCGGUGGGUGGGCUAGAGGUUGAAGUGUUAAACAUCCAUAAUUAAUGUAGGUUUUGAAAAAUCUAAGCCUACAGGGGACUAGCAAAGGCAGAGAAACAGACAAGAAGGAAGGAAGGAAGGAAGGAAGGAAGGAAGGAAGGAAGGAAGGAAGGAGGGAAGGAAGGAAGGAAGGAAGGGAGGAAGGAAAACAGGAGCCAGAAGGAAAAGUCAAGAAAGCAUCAGGAGAAGAGCUGGAACAAAAAUGUGCAAAAACAUGCAAGUAUUGUGAGGAUAUUGUCUGGGAGGAAGCCUGACUAGCUUGGAGGUUUAGAAUGGAUUAAUAACUGUUCAGUAUUUGGUUCAAGGCAAUUUUAAUAAAUCUUAAUCUCUCUUGUGGUUAUUGGACACUGAAAUAGAAAUUUCUAGUUUUGUCUCAGUUGUGCCUUGUGAUAUUUUUUUCUGGAAGCUGUAUUAUGAAAGGAUAUGUUGCUGAGAACAGACAUUUUACUGGAAGCUGUCUGGUGAACGGGCAUGUGAUGUUUUGCUGAAGCAGACACUUGGGUGGAUGUGUGAUAUUUGGAAUGAGUAUAAAUAUAACCCAACAGACCUUGGAGGGUGCUCUUGCAUUGGCUCACUUUGCAACUUUUUUAAAGAUUUAUUUAUUUUAUGUAUGCCAGUACAUUGUUACUGUCUUCAGACACACCAAAAGAGGAAAUGCCAUUACAGAUUUUGAGCCACCAUGUUGUUGUUAGGAUUUGAACUCAGAACUUCUGGAAGCCCAGGCAGUGACUUUUAACUACUGAGCCAUCACUCCAGCCCCACAACUCUUCAAUGAUCUUUGCUUGUUGUGACUUUGUAGAAAGAAACAUAGCAAAAAAAACUUCUGGAGGUACUCCAGGUGCUUCUUGCUGCUUCUGCAGACUUGAGCCAAUUAGUGAAGUCUUGUGGUUUCUUCUGGAUCAAGCUGCUGCCACUGAUUGUAUCUGGUGUUUUACUGGUGGACUGGAGUCUUGUGGUUUCUUCUGGAUCAAGCUGCUGCUACUGAUUGUAUCUGGUGUUUUACUGGUGGACUGGACUGUUGACAAUGAAGAUUGGAAUCACCACAAAGAUCUACUUCUAAACAGGUCCACAAUCCCUGUUUCCUAUUAAACUUUAAUUUACCCUACCUCUGGUGGGUGGUGGGCUAGAGGUUGAAUUGUUAAAGAUCCACAAUUAAAGUAGGUUUUGAAAAAUCUAAGCCUAUGGGGGACUAGCAAAGGUGAAGAAAUACAGCUGCUGGAUUAAUUUACUACAUACAUUUAUAAUAAAAAAUCAUUUUGCAGGAAGACAAUGGUGAGGUUAUACCUAAGAUAUGUAGGCCUUAGCACAUGGAAAUACCUUGCAAUCUUAGAGCUAUAGUACCACCAGACAAGAUGCAGUAUGGCUGAAAGGCCUCUUCCAGCUUCUUCUAAGGCAGCGAUUCUCCAUUUGUGGGUCAUGACAUUAGAAAACACAUAUUUUCAAUCUUAGGAACUGAGACACUGCUCAAUAACAAAAUUAGCUAUGAAGUAGCAACAAAAAUAAAUUUAUGUUUGGGAAUUCCUAAGAUUAUUGGAAAUAUGUGUUUUCCAAUAGUCAUUCCCCACAGACAUUGAAACUGUUGGGCUGCUUGUAGACUUUGAGAGUAGAUGUGGAUGGUCACACAUAUCUGGAGAUUUCAAAAGGCUCCCUCCACUCUAUUGAGAAUACCUCUUACAAAUGGAGAAAGUCAGGAAAAUGUGCCAGGAAUAGCGUCUGGUAAAAAGUUAUGGAGAGAGGCAAGGAGGAGAGACUGAGAAGAGAGUAGGGAAAGGAGAGAAAGGAAAACUCAGGAGAGUGAGUGAUUUGAAAAGAGCAGUUGAAGGUUAGACAAAAGUAAAGAAGCAUUCAGAUACAUUUUGAAGAAGGAAAUGGUGGUUUUCAAAUACAGAAGGAGAAAAACCUACAAUCAGGUAAGUACAGGAUAGCAUUUCUCAGGGAGGGAUGGCUGGUUUCAAGGUCUCUGUCAUUUUUUAGGUGACUCUAAGAUACAGACUGUCUAGAAUCCUAUUCCCAUUCAGUAAAGACUGAGAUAUUCCGAAUUGUAAGUGGGCUUUUGAAAUCUCAAAGCACACCCCUAAUGACAAACCUCCUCUGACAAGGCCAUGCCUCUUAAUCUUUUCACUAAUUGAGAAACCUAAUAUUCAAAUAUUGGUUUACUGAGUCUGUGAGGGCCAUUCUCAUUCAUACUACUACAGUAUUACUGGGUCUAAUUCUAGAGAACUAUGAUUAAAACAGGAACGUGUUUAAAACUAAUUACAGUAAUUAAAACUAGUUACAGUAAUUAAAACUAAUUAGAGUAAGGUGUUUAUAAUUGCAUAACAUGAGCAAAAUUGACAGCAUCCAUUUAGGCAAAACACUUAAUAAACAAAACUCAGUGCAAAAUGGUUUUUAUUGAUUCUGAGUAACACAAAUGUGAUUCAAAGACUCGUUUGAACCAGGGCCUGAGUUGUGGCAGAUCUUGUACACCAGGGUGAUGGUGGAUGGCAACCUUGGUUACUAGGAACUUGUUUGGCAGGGCUGCUGUUCUGAGUUGUGAUGAAGAGAAGAGAUCUCUGAUGACUGCUUAGUAAUAUUGGGUUGUAUGUUUUCUUUCAUACGGCUAGUGGUAGAUUUUAAGUGAUCUUACUACACAGCAAAAAAGGAUAGGUAUAUAAAAUACUUAUGUUGGCUAAGGCAAUUGAGUUGUCUUUUUAAACCUCUAUUUUCAUAUUAUGUGUACGGAUGUUCUGGCUGCAUAUAUAUCUAUGACUGAGCAGGUCAGAAGAGGGUAUUGGAUGUCCCAGGACUGAAAUUACAGGUGGUUAUGAGCCACCCAGUGAAUACUGGGUUGAACCUGGGUCUUCUGGAAGAACAACAAAUGCUCUCAAUAACUGAGCCUUCUUUCUAGCCCAUUGAGCUAUUUCUUGAGACAUACACAUUUCAAAAUAUUGUAUGUAACAAAAUAUUCGAUUUUUGUCAAAUAAGAUUUAAGUAUUGUGUAGAGCAUUUGUCACAUAGGAUAAAGAGUCUUGGUUCCAAUCCCCAGGCCCCAUGUUAAAAUCAGGCAAAGCUGUCCUCAUCUAUAUAAGCUCAGGGCUGGGAAUAGGGUAGAGGUCAAGACAGAAGGAUUCCUAGAUCGUCGUGGCAAGGCAGUGUAGAUAAGUUGGUGAGUUCCAGGUUCAAUGAAAGAUUUUAUCUCAAAAAAUAAGAACAAUUUCGUAAGACAUCAGACAUUAACACUUGUCCUCUAUACACAUGUGCACACAUGUAGGCACAUGCAAACUCAUACAUUACCCACAGAAGCUAAUACACAAUAGGUGAGCACCCAUACGGAAAAUGACAAGAUGUUCCAGAAACACCAGAACAGUGCACACCAAGCUGCUGUAGGGCUUCUAGAGAAAUAAAAGAAUUUACUUCUUAUUUUACUUGAGAACAUUACAGGACAUGGAGAGUACGAUUUGGACAUUCUUCAGUUUUCAGUACAACAAACCCCUUGAUUUUCAUCCCAAUGGCUAUGUAAAUACCUUUGUCAGCUUGUGGACAUGGAGUUGUAGAAACAAUAGUAUAUGCCAUCUUAAUAAUUAUCGUGAUGCUCGUCACCAAUAAACAACUUUAAGACCUAUGUCAAUGCACUGAAAACCUUGUGUGCUGCCAGUUGCUGACAUAUUAGCAAACCUGACCGAUCUUUAGUACACUGCAGCAUAAAUGUUCAACUUUCAUAUGAUAAAAGGGUUUCAUUCUUUCGGGGAAUUUGGUAGUGCAGCCUUUGCCUCUGUCCAUUAGAACACUUGGUGGUGCUGUUUGAAAACCGUUUGGAAACCUUAACAGGUGAAUCCUACAUGAAAAGGGGGAAUCUGGAGGGGGUCCUUGAAACUUUAUGGUUCUGUGCCUCUAGCUGUUUACUCUCUGCUCUCCACGUGAGUGUGCUAGGCCUGCUGCAGAGCCUCAGAUCAUGCUAACACUCCCUUCCUGCUAGAUGUGUCUUAACCUGCUGCCAGGUCUUGCAUACAAUGACCCCCUUAAAUAAAUGAGACCCUAAAAGGGACAGAGAAUAAAUGCUCUUCCUUAAAGUGCUUAAGAUGUCAAGGACAAGGAGGGGGAAAAUCACAGAUGCAGGGUACCCAGAUUCUAGCAGGCACAGCCUUUGGUCAGCUCAUCCUAGGUUAGGGAAGUUGUUGGUUUCUAGGAAUGAGAGACUCAGAUGUUAGUUACCAGGGAAAAUGUCAUGGGGAAAUAUUGGUUGUCAAGGAUUGGGUAGGGGAAGGUGCCAGAGAUUCACUGUGGGUACAUAUUGGUGGCCAUAUAUUACACAGCUUGAAGUAAAUAAACUUAUUUCAUUCAUGUUAACAUAGUGUUUCUCAUGCACUUAUUUGGAAUAAGCUAUUGCUUUUCCAGACCAUGCAUCUUUUGGAUAGUCCAUAAAAGGUCUCUACCCCGAUGCUGCUUAAGACAGCCAUCUUCCAUCUCCAUAUUUCAGCUUCAUGGUUGGGGAUUUAAUGGAGUUUCUCACCUACAGACAGCUGCCAAAUGGAGUACGAGAGUCACGUGGGGACUUCUGACUUUAAGAAUUGCUUUAAAAAAACUAAAGUUUUAAUUUAAGUUUUCUUCAUAGUUUCAAUAUAUAUACAUAUCUCUCCACCUUUUUAUCACUAACAAGCAGUUUUGGUAAGCUUAGUUUUCUUUUGUGUGUGUCUGGUGUGUGGUAUAUGUCUGUAGUUAGCUAGAUAUGAGGCUGCAGUCACCUUUGUACAAAGUUAUGAAGGCCAGAGGUCCACAUCAGGUAUCUUUAAUCACCCAGCCCCUUUUAUGAGAGACAGUAGCUCACUGAACCUGGAGUUCACCACUGCUACUAAAAUGAUGAGCCAGUGAACUCCUGGGUCCCCCUGCCUGCCCUAGUGCGGGGGUUACAGAUUUACAGAUGCAUGCCUAGGUACCUGGCCUUUCCCAUGGGAGCAGGAACAGUGCUCUCUCCUCACUCAUAAACGGCAAGCGCAGCACCCACUGUUACAUAUUUAUAUAACUACUUACUACUUUGCCUUACAUUGCAUUGUUGAGUUUGCUCGUGCUGAUAUCUUAGAGAGAGAAACAUGCCAAAGAACUUCUUGUAGCUUCCAUGACCUUGUGCCAGUAGGUAAGCCUCAUAGUUUCUUCUGGAUUGAACUGCCCUUGCUGGUUCAUGUGUGGUGCCUGCUAAGAGGACUGGACUGUAGCUGCUGAUUCAUAAUUGGUGUUUGCCACUGGACUCAACUGCUGAUAUCCUGACAAUGAAGAUGGGACUCACCCCCAGAUAACUACUUCUAAACAGGUCUACUUCCCCUGUAUCCUAUUAACUUUUCCACUACCUCUGGUAUGUGGUGGGCUAGAGGGGGUGUUUGAUGCUUAUUAAAGUAGGUCAAGAAAAUUUUAUGACUAUACUCAUCUGCUUCCAUUUUCGUCUUUUUCAUAAUUUCCCCUCAAAAAGUCUGUCACUUUUUUCAUGCAGAUAACACAUGUAUAUUCCUUUCCCUCAGUGAGUACUAACCCCUUUGUCAGGAUAAAAUACAUCCUUUCUUCCUCCUAACUUCCCUUGUUUGGGAAUCAGUUCUGUCUGAAAUCAAUAAAUCUGUAGUCAUUGGUUUAUUUGCAAGUGAAUCAUUUAUUUCUGUGAAUGGUGACCGCUUUGUUUAUAUUUAAUACAUAAGAUGGCUGCAUGGAAGUAUGCUGCAUCUCUAAUAAUCAUCUUGUCCUGGGUGUCAUAUUUUAGUUUUGUAGACAGAGAUGGCACUUUGGGUCUUGGAGUUACUUGAGAAUCUUGUAGUCUUAGCAUUUCAGGUUCCUCUAGUGAGGGGGAAAAAAGAAACAUAUGAUUAGACCAUUGCCUAUCUGGACCUGGAAAGGUCUGGAUUUGAAUUAUUUGGACUAGGACUUAAAUAGUGCUCUGGCAUGUCUUUUCCUUGCUAAAUAUUGUUUCUGAGUUGAAGAUAUUGUCACAUGAGCUCAAAAGUGUAAUAAGAGAAUGUGCUGUGAAAACCCCAGGCUCCUGCCUUCUGCUACUCCAGUAGAAAGCUGGGUGCAAAGAGAAGCUUACUCACAGAACUCAAGGGGAAAGUCAUUUUCAGAGGUUAGUGGUGACUGGUACCUUUGUCCUAGUGAGGUCCUGGUUGGUUACUGUUGGUUCAGGUCUAGGCCAGGAAUUUCUAGCGAUUAAAGUAAAGGUUCACUCAGUUUACAGAAGUAUCUGGGAAACUUUAUUUAAACAAAGCUAUACAAUAAAUCAGAAUAGAGGGCCAAGGACCACAAAGUGAAUAUACAGUCUUGGUUACUGUCUAACGCGUGUGUUUAUGGAGCUGAAGAGAAAAAGCUGUUUGGCUAUUCAGAGGUCUAGUGAGUGUGGCUCUUAUUUCGAUUGACAGAUUGAUAUAAUUGUUUUUCUACUAUGUAUUUUUCUUCCUAGAACAUGUUAUUAAUUUUCAAUUGUCACUAUGACAAUUGAAAACAAAUGGAAGGACAGACAUAUAUUCAUCAAAAGUUACAAGUUGACAUGAAGCAAAUGUCCCUCUUGAAAGUGGCCUCCAGUUUCCCUAUAUUGAAGAGUGUAAGGUCCUCCCAGGCAGUGAAACCCACAUGGGGUCAAUCAGGUCUCAUCUGGCCACAAGCACAUAUUUCUGAAAUCGUAGCUUAAUUAAUGCCUGAGUCCAGGUCUCCUGAUACUUGCUAAAAGUACCAAGUGUCAUUGUCCCCAGUUUCAUAAUGACGGACAAGCAUGUGGAAUUAGUUGACAAUUGGCAACUUGAACAAGUGCAGACUCAAAUUCCCAGAAGAGUGCUGAGCCACCCACUGCAUGGCUUCCCAGCCAAACCAAGGGAACCAAAAGGGAAACUGAGUCCAGAUUCAUACCCUAGUAAGACUGGAUCCCUGCCCUGUCUGUUUAGGCAACACCUCCAUUGUGGCUGUGCUUGUCAAUACUUACUGAAUAAAGGCACAAAGCUUAAACAGGUCUUGGCUCCCUUUAACUUUAUGACUCCCAGUCUUUGUUUCUGGCUCUGAUUUCCCUGGUACCUGAGGAAACAGUGAAUGAGAUUUGUGACCAGUUGUAGGUCUCUUUGUUUAUCAGGGAAGAGCUAGGUCAUCAUCCUGACAGUUGGCUGUAAAAAUCUUUAGGAUAAUGGUGCCACUCAUAUCUCUGGGAUGUUUUUCAGGUAUGUCCAGAAAGAGAGAGAGAGAGAGAGAGAGAGAGAGAGAGAGAGAGAGAGAGAGAAGAGGUCAUUGAGGAAAUGGAUACAGUGUUGCUCCAGGAGCGUGCUGGCUGUGUCACCCUUAUUCCCGUGGACACCAGGUCAGUCUGUUUGGGAAGCACAACUCUGACAUUGCUGUGUGUGAUACUGCAGGUGUGGCAAGUGACCCCUCCCAUGGAGGAGAAUUGAUGCAUCAGGACCAACAGAGCACAGCUGGUUUUGCUCUGGGGAUGAGAGAGUAGGGAACUAUUGAACUAAAAUGCUAAGACAAGUGGGGUCUAAUAGUGAAGGGGAAAAGGUAAACAGGGUGCUCAGAGAAAAGUCUGGAAAGAGGAAGAGCCAGGAAUAGAGAUUAGGUGGGAUAAUGGGGGAAAGUGUGGAUCAGAGUGAGAGGAAAAGAAAGGACAGAUUGGGCUGGGGAGAAGGCUGAAGGUUAGAGCUGACAGGAUUCAGGUAACACAGGUAGAAGGAGCACAGGGCAAAAGAAUGGGAGUGGGAAAUUAGGUCUCAUAAGGAAAAUGUUGGGAAACCACUUUGUCAUCUUUUCAGAACACACUCCAAACCUUUCUCUUCAGUAAAGGAAGAGAGGAACUUUGUUUGCAGAGACCUGCUGUGGCAGUCACCUCCCAGGUACCUCAUGUCCCAUUAGGACUAAGACACUAAAACACCAUGCUGCUUGCCUCUUGGUCCAGUGCAUCAACCUCAGCAAACAGGCAAGAGGUGAUUGACAUGUCGAGUCUAAGGGUGAUUGGGGAGGUGGCAAAUAAAAUAAGUGGAGCUGUGACAUUAGCAUGUGUUUGUGUGACAGCAUGGACCGUCUCCUUUCAGAUAAUGAACACAAGACAAGGGACAGAGGCAACUUAUAUUGCAACCUAGGGGAGCUUUCCUGAAUCAGGAGUUAGGAAGAGUCAGUGCCUCAUGAUCAUAUUUUCCAUAGCACAUUUACAUCAUUUACAGCACUGUGACUACAUCUAUAAGGACCCCAGAAGAAUUUUCUACCAGGUAACAGAUCCCACAUUCUCCUAAGGACCAAAGAGGAAACAGAAAGCAAGCAAUACAUCACCCAACAAGACAGGACCAGAUACAAUCUUCCCAAAGCCUGACACCAACAUAAAAACCCAACAACAGCUAGGACAGUAUAUCUCCACUAGAGUCAGAAGCCCUACUACAGUAGACUCUGAAUAUUGCAACAUAUCUGAAGCAUAAGACAAAGCCUUUAAAAUAGCUUUUAUGAAUGUGAUAAGAAGCAAAUGAAUCCUUUAAAGACAUCUAUGAAACCACAAACAAUGAGGGGAAAUGAAUGAAAUAUCCAAGACCUAAUCACUGAAAUAGAAUCAAUAAAGAAAACCCAAACAGGGAAAUCUAGAAUUAGAAAAAAAUUCAAAACUCAGAAAGAAACCUUAGAGGCAAGACUUAACAACAGACUAUAAAAGAUGGAAGAUAGAAUCUCAGGCAUUGAAGAGAUGAUAGAAGAAAUGGAUGCCUCAUUAAAAGAAAAGUUUAAAUCUAAAGCAAUUCUGACACGAAACAUUCAGGAAAUUCUAAACACUAUGGAAAGAGCAAAUCUAAGAAUAAUAGUAGUAAGGGGAGUAUAAGUAACACAGGUUAAAAGCAUCAAAACUAUUUUCAGCAAAACCAUAAAAGGAAAGUUCCCCAAAGUAGGAGGAGCCCAUCAAGGUACAAGAAACAUACAGAAUACCAAACACUGAACCCAAAAGCAAAGUUUCCUCACACAUAAUAAUGAAAACACUGAAUGUAUAGAACAAACAAAUAUCAAAGGCUGUAUAGGAAAAAAAACCAAGCAACAUACAAAGACAGACCUAUUCAAUAUCACCUAACUUCUCUAUUGAGAGUGAAAAAGCCAGAAGAUCCAAGAACGGUGUUCCAAAGACUCUAAGAGAUCACCUAUGUCAGACCAGACUACCAUACAUAGCAAAAUUUUCAAUCACCGUAGAGAGAAAAAUUAAGACAUCCCAUAAUAAAACAAAAUUUAAGCAAUAUUUAUCAACAAAGCCAGCCUAACAGAAGGUGUUGGAAGGAAAACGUUAACAUAAAGAAGACACAGUAAUAAAUAAUCCCAUGCCAGCAAAUCAAAGACACACAAUACACAACAACAAAAUAACAGGAACUAACAAUGCUGGUCACUGCUAUCUCUCAACAUAAUUAGUCUCAAUUACACAAUUAAAAGAAUCAGGAUUCAUCCUUCUGCUGCAUCCAAGAAACACACCUUAACAUCAAAGAUAGACAUCACCUCAGGAUAAUAGGAUAGAAAAAGAUAGUCCAAACAAAUAGACCUAAGAAGCAACCUGGUGCAGACAUUUCUAUCUAACAAAAUAAAAUUCAAAACAAAACUAAUCAGAAGAGAUAGGGAAGGACACUAUAUACACAUCAAAGGAAAAUUUCAUCAUGAGGGCAUUUCAAUUCUUAACAUCUAUGCAGCAAACACAAGGGCAUCCAGUUUUGUAGACAAAACGCUACUACAGCUUAAGUCACAUAUUGAUACUCAUAUACUGAGAGUGGGAGACUUCAGUAACCUACUGGUCAUCCAGACAAAAACUAAACAAAAAAUGCUAGCACUAAAUGACAUUACAAAUCAAAUGGGCUUAACAGAUAUUUACAGAACAUUUUAACCAAACACAAAAGAAUAUAUACCUACUUCUCAACACCUCAUGUAAUUUUCAACAUAUAAAACAAACUUAAAAUAACUCUCGGCAUUCUAUCAGACCACCAUGAUUUAAAACUGGAUAUAAACAUCAACAGAAAUAACACAAAGCUUCAAACUCAUGGAAACUAAAAAACUGACUACUGAAUAAAAGCCAGGCCAGGUCAGAAAUGAAAGACUUUUCCUAAUUGAAUGAAAAUAAAUAUGCACAUAUCCUAACUUAUGGGACACAGUGAAACUAGUUCUAAGAGGCAAGUUCAUAGCACUAAGUGCCUACAUUUAAAAACAUGGAGAGAUCUCAUACUAAUAACAUAGCAGCAUAAAACAAAAAGAAGAAAUCAUACUGAAAAGAAGUAGACUAGGAAAUAAACUCAGGGCUGAAAUAAAUAAAAAAGAAGCAAACAGCAAAAGGUUUUAUGAAACAGGGUUGGUUCUUUGAGAAAAUAAGACUGAUAAACCCUUAUUCAAAUUAACUAAAAGGAUAAUAUUCAACAACAAACAAGGAGGAAAUAUAGAGAAUCACAAGUACAUACUUUAAAAACCUGCAAUCCACCAAAUUGGAGUAUCUAAAAGAAAUGUAUAUAUACUGCUUGCCAAAAUUAAAUCAAGAUCAGAUAAGCAACUUAAACAAACCUAUUAAAAGUCUUCCAAACCAAAUAAAUAAAUAAAUAAAUAAAUAAAUAAAUAAAUAAAUAAAUACAAAAAAAAGGGGAUCAGAUGGUUUUAGCACAGAGUUCUACCAUACUUUCAAAAAGACUCAAUGGAGACUCUAAAAGCCAGAGAAGCCAUGAGAUGUAAACAGACGGAACAUUGCCCAAUUUUUAUGAGGUCACGGUCACAUUCAACCAAACUACCUAAAGACCCAACAAAGAAAUUACAGACCAAUUUCUUUUAUGAACAUAGAUACAAAAAUUCUCAAUAAAAUACUUGCAAACUGGAUCCAAGAACACAUAAAAAAGAUCAUCACGAUCAAGUAAGUAGGUGCUAGCCCAGGCAUGCUGGAAUGGUCUCAACAUGCAUAAACUGAGAAAUUAAUCCAUCGUACAAACUCACUGAAUGCCAAAAAUUGCUUUAUCAUCUUAUUAGAUGCAGAAAAGGCCUUUGAUAAAAUCCAACAUCUCUUCAUAAUAAAAGUCCUCAAGAGAUUAGAGAUAGAAAGGACACACCUCAACAAAGAAAAGGGGGUUGGCAGCUUUCCCAUAGCCAACACCAACUAAAAGCUAUUCCACUAAAAUCAUGAACAAGACAAGAUUGUCUACUCUCUCUAUACAUACUCGAUACAGUCCUUAAAGUCUUAGCUAGAGCAGUGAGAUAGUUGAAGAAAGGAAGAAGUCAAAGUUUCUUUAUUUGAAGAUAUGAUGGUAUACAAAAAAGGUCCAUGAAGACACUAUUACAGCUGAUAAAUACUUUAAGUGAAGUAGCAGGAUACAAAAUUAACUAAAAAAACAAACAAACAAACAAAAAAACCAAACAGUACCCAUCCUAUAUACAGAUGAUAAAUGGACUGAGAAAGAAGUCUGGGAAACAAUACCUUUUACAACAGCCACAAAAAAAUACAAAAUGUUUUGGGGUAUCUCUAACUAAGCUAGUGAAAGACUUAUGUGGUAAGAAAAAGUUUAAGACAUUGAGGAAGCCACAAAAAAUACAAAAUAUGUUGGGGUGUCUGUAACCAAGCUAGUGAAAGAUUUAUAUGAUUUAAAAAAAAAUUUUAAGACAGCGAGAAAAGAAAUUGAAGACAGUAUUAGAUGCUUCAUGCUCAUGGAGUGGUAGGAUUAGCAUAGUAAAAAUGCCCAUCCUACCAAAAGCAAUGUGUAGACCCAGUGAAAUCACUAUCAGAAUUCCAACAAAAUUAUUCACAUGCCUUCAAAGGACAAUUUUCAGCUUCAAGUGGAAACACAGAAAAGCAGGAGAGUUAAAACUAUCCCAGAUAAAAAAGAACUACUAGAGGUAUCACCGUCCCAGUUUAAAGCUCUACUACAGAGCAAAUGUAAUAAAAAAGGUAUUGGCACAAAAACAGACUUAUUAGUAAAUAAAAUUGAAUUAAAGAACCAUAUAUAAAUCCAUGAAGAAGCUAGAAAUAUACAUUAUAAAAAUACAGCAUCUUCAAUAAAUGGUUCUGGUCAAACUGAAGUUACACGCAUGUAGAAGAAUCCAAAUAGAUCCAUACUUAUCAACCCACACAGAACUUAAGAGCAAAUGGAUCAAAGACCUCAACGUAAAUCUAGAUACACCUGAACCUGAUCGAAAUCAGAGAGUAGCCUUGAACUCAUUGGCACAGGAAACAGCUAUCUGAAAGAAUGGGAGAAAGGAAGAAAUAUGGGGAGAGACAGCAAGAAACAAGGGUGAUUUGAAAGAUAGUAUGGCAACCUAAAACAAUAGAAGCUCCCAAAAUACAUACAGCUAUGAAGGAGAUCUAAAUGAAAUCACCAAAUUAUGGGGGAUAUGGAGCCCCAAUUGACCAUCUCUUGUCACCAAAUGAAGCUUCCAGUCCCAGGAUUGGAUUACAUCUAAUUGAGUUGCUGGCUAGAAGGGUCCUACUGAAUUCCCUCCAAAAACUCCCAGCCUAUUUCAAAGGUUAUAGGUUGCUCUCCAUAAAUUGAUACCAAGUCCCCAUUGCUGAAGACAACACUGUACAACUCAUUGAACAUGGAGAAGUCAACUGGCGCUACAUAUUCUUUACUCCUAUGUGCUAGUGUCUUUGGUACAGUUAGGUACUCUGCACACUCCCUUGCGCAGGGGCCAUGCUAAUCUUCUCUGUAUCGUUCCAAUUUUAGUAUAUGUGCUGCCGAAGCGAGCACACUCUGCACACUCCCAAAGGAGAAACAGAAGCACUAACCCAGCCACAAACUCUUCAAUCUACAGUGGUGUCCUGCCUUCAAGACAUGCUAACGCAAUGGUGCCACAAAGUUUGUGGGAGUAGCCAACCAGCAUCUGAUUUGACUGAAGAUCCACUCCAUGAAUCCAUGUCUGACACUGCUUGGGGAACAAAGAACUUGAGCAUUGAUAGUCCAGAAACAUGAGGGGAAGUUAAGCACUACACUUCCUUAAAAAGUUAAAAAAAAUAGUAAUAAAAUGACUUCUAAUGACAUUCUGCUAUACUUAUAACUCAGUGUCUUGCUCAGCCAUCAUCAGAGAAACUUCCUCCUGCAGUAGGUGGGAACAGAUACAGAGACCAGCAGCCAGACAUUAUACGGAGAGGGAGAACACGCAUUUUCCUAGAAUACUCAACCCUAAGUGGGAUGUCUCCACCAAUGCACUUUCAGGACUCUGAGAACCUCAUGAAAGAAGAGGCAAAAGAAGUAGUAUAAGAGCCAGAGGAGGAGGAAGACAAAAAAAAAAAAAAAAAAAAAAAAAAAAAAAAAAAAAAAAAACCAAACAAACCC